GCGCGAUUAGUUAAAUGGCAGAAUAGCUGGUUUCCAACCAGCGGACACGGGUUCGAUUCCCGUAUCGCGCA
rnacentral:tRNA from 2 species